rnacentral:rRNA from 1 species
GACGAACGCUGGCGGCGUGCUUAACACAUGCAAGUCGAACGGAAAGGCCCUGCUUUUGUGGGGUGCUCGAGUGGCGAACGGGUGAGUAACACGUGAGUAGCCUGCCCUUGACUUUGGGAUAACUUCAGGAAACUGGGGCUAAUACCGGAUAGGAGCUCCUGCUGCAUGGUGGGGGUUGGAAAGUUUCGGCGGUUGGGGAUGGACUCGCGGCUUAUCAGCUUGUUGGUGGGGUAGUGGCUUACCAAGGCUUUGACGGGUAGCCGGCCUGAGAGGGUGACCGGCCACAUUGGGACUGAGAUACGGCCCAGACUCCUACGGGAGGCAGCAGUGGGGAAUAUUGCACAAUGGGCGGAAGCCUGAUGCAGCAACGCCGCGUGCGGGAUGACGGCCUUCGGGUGGUAAACCGCUUUCGCCUGUGACGAAGCGUGAGUGACGGUAAUGGGUAAAGAAGCACCGGCUAACUACGU